CGCCGCCUCAUUUCCGGUGCUCUCUUUCGCUGGGUCGCUCGGGUCGGCUUCGGUCGCUGUCGCUCCCGCUCUCCCACCCCCGCCAACCGCCGCUCGGGCCUCUGCCGCUGCCGCGUUGCUUCCUCGAUCCCUCGAUCGUACAUCCACCCCAAUGCAGCGCCGGGACGACCCCGCCGCGCGCAUGAGCCGGUCCUCAGGCCGCAGCGGCUCCAUGGACCCCUCCGGUGCCCACCCCUCAGUGCGUCAGGCGCCGUCUCGGCAGCCACCGCUGCCUCACCGAUCCCGGGGAGGCGGAGGGGGAUCCCGGGGGGGCGCCCGGGCCUCGCCCGCCACGCAGCCACCACCGCUGCUGCCGCCCUCGGCCACGGGUCCCGACGCGACAGUGGGCGGUCCAGCGCCGACCCCGCUGCUGCCCCCCUCAGCCACUGCCUCCGUCAAGAUGGAGCCGGAGAACAAGUACCUGCCCGAACUCAUGGCCGAGAAGGACUCGCUCGACCCGUCCUUCACUCACGCCAUGCAGCUACUGACGGCCGAAAUUGAGAAGAUUCAGAAAGGAGAUUCAAAAAAGGAUGAUGAGGAGAAUUACUUGGAUUUAUUUUCUCACAAGAACAUGAAGCUGAAGGAGCGGGUGCUGAUACCUGUCAAGCAGUAUCCCAAGUUCAAUUUUGUGGGGAAGAUCCUUGGACCACAAGGGAAUACAAUCAAAAGACUGCAAGAGGAGACAGGGGCAAAGAUCUCUGUUCUGGGCAAGGGCUCAAUGAGAGACAAAGCCAAGGAGGAAGAGCUGCGCAAAGGUGGAGAUCCCAAAUAUGCCCACUUAAAUAUGGAUCUGCAUGUCUUCAUUGAAGUCUUCGGACCCCCAUGUGAGGCUUAUGCUCUUAUGGCCCAUGCUAUGGAGGAAGUCAAGAAGUUCCUAGUACCAGAUAUGAUGGAUGAUAUCUGCCAGGAGCAGUUUCUAGAGCUCUCCUACCUGAAUGGAGUACCGGAGCCCUCUCGCGGGCGUGGGGUGCCCGUGAGAGGCCGAGGAGCAGCACCUCCCCCUCCACCUGUUCCCAGAGGCCGUGGUGUUGGACCACCUCGGGGGGCUCUGGUGCGUGGUACACCAGUGAGAGGAGCCAUCACCAGAGGUGCCACUGUGACUCGAGGAGUGCCACCCCCACCUACAGUGAGGGGUGCGCCAGCACCAAGAGCCCGGACAGCAGGCAUCCAGAGAAUACCUUUGCCUCCACCCCCUGCACCAGAAACAUAUGAAGAAUAUGGAUAUGAUGAUACAUAUGCAGAACAGAGUUAUGAAGGCUACGAAGGUUAUUACAGCCAGAGCCAAGGGGAUUCAGAAUAUUAUGACUAUGGACAUGGGGAGGUUCAAGAUUCUUACGAAGCUUAUGGCCAAGACGACUGGAAUGGGACCAGGCCGUCGCUGAAGGCCCCUCCAGCUAGGCCAGUGAAGGGAGCAUACAGAGAGCACCCAUAUGGACGUUAUUAAAAACACACAUGAGGGGAAAAUAUCAGUUAUGAGCAAAGUUGUUACUGAUUUCUUGUAUCUCCCAGGAUUCCUGUUGCUUUACCCACAACAGACAAGUGAUUGAAAACUCCUGAGGCAUUUCCUGGAGUAGAAUGGGUAGUGAAGACCCAUGUCAGCGAUCAGAGGACUCCGGAAACCAAGAGAGCUGCUUGCUGUGUCAAGGCUGGCCUGAGGGCAUUUGCAGAGCACAAAGAAACCCAGGAGAGAUCAACAGUCUUUUCCCACUCCACCUCUUGAUCUGUCUGAUUUGCCCACAGAAAGCCAGCCAGGAUCCCCUAAGAGAGUCUCUAGGCCCAGAAUGGAGUCCUCAGGGCUGCAGGGGACUGUGAUGCUAACAAACCUGCUUAGGACUUUAAAGAGCUGAAGGGGACUAACAGUGUCCCAAGCACAGCUUCCUAGAUCCGAAUAAACUGGCAACUCCCACUGUGCCAAUUCCCAGAUUGCCCGCUUCCCCUUAGCCUCCAGCAGAACUGGCUGGAACACGCUACCACCACCUCCUCUUUCCUGCCGCACACACUUGUGCCAUGGGUGCCAGCCUGGGAGUCCUCUGGAGGUUCCCAAGGCUGGUGCCACCUCUGUGACAGGCUGAGGAAAGGCCGGUGAGAAGGCCCAUUUACUUUGAGCAAGUUAUUUAACUUCUGAGCCUGGUUUUCUCUUCACUGUUGAUUACUAACCUUGUCCACACACUCUUAAAAGGUAGGGCUUUUCCUACUUCACUCCUGUACUAUAUAUCCCUUCCCCAACAAAUCUCUGGCACUGAGGAGCUCAAUAAAGUUUGGUCAAGUGAAGAAUGGU